rnacentral:lncRNA from 1 species
CCGGAACUAGCCGAGAAUGAGUAGGGAGCUUGCCGAAGGGUUUUUCGGAAGCUCGCCGGAAGGUUCGUUGGAAGUUCGCGGAGCUCACCGAGAAAGAUCGGAGCUUACCGAAGAAGCUCGUUGGAACUCGCCAAGAUCAAAUCGUGAAGUCUAGGAGCUUGCCGGGAGUCCGCAGAAUGGUUUCCGAGAGUUUAUCGGAAGACCGUCGGAAGUUCGCUGGAAGCUCGCCGGAAGAAGUCUUGACUUACGGACUUUGUAAUAGCUUAGAAAAU